UACAGAGGUCCCGAGCGUUGUUCGGAUUCACUGGGCGUAAAGGGUGCGUAGGCGGUCGGGUAAGUCUGAUGUGAAAUCUCACAGCUUAACUGUGAAACUGCAUUGGAUACUAUUCGGCUUGAGAGUUGGAGGGGGGACUGGAAUUCUUGGUGUAGCAGUGAAAUGCGUAGAUAUCAAGAGGGACACCAGUGGCGAAGGCGAGUCCCUGGACAACUUCUGACGCUGAGGCACGAAAGCUAGGGGAGCAAACAGG
rnacentral:rRNA from 1 species